CAGCAGCCGCGGGAAAACGUCGGGUGCGAGCGUUAAUCGGAAUUACUGGGCGUAAAGCGUGCGCAGGCGGUUGUGUAAGACAGGUGUGAAAUCCCCGGGCUUAACCUGGGAACUGCGCUUGUGACUGCACAGCUAGAGUAUGGCAGAGGGGGGUGGAAUUCCACGUGUAGCAGUGAAAUGCGUAGAGAUGUGGAGGAACACCGAUGGCGAAGGCAGCCCCCUGGGCCAAUACUGACGCUCAUGCACGAAAGCGUGGGGAGCAAACAGGAUUAGAUACCCCGGUAGUCCCUGUCUCUUAUAA
rnacentral:rRNA from 1 species